rnacentral:lncRNA from 1 species
CGGGAGCUAAGUUUCCACGAGUUUAGCAAGAGAGAGAGAGUGAGGGAUUCUGCUGCUUGGAUUGGAACAAAAGACCUUGCAGGAAAAUAUGGAUGAUGGGAUGAUAUUUGAGGUUUGGAAGGAUAUAAUCAUAGGAAAAAGGUUAAGUAUGGUAUUUCUCUGCGUCUCUUUGGUUGUAGCUUCUCUUGCCCUUUUAUACGCUUUGCGAGCUCACUUUCCCACACUCGUGCACUCCGGUAUCAAGCUGUUUUGGUCUGCUCCUCCGGCUUUGAGGUGGUCGUUUCCUUUUGGUCGUUUUGCCUCCCAUUGAGAUGACAUGAUUUCUUCAUUCUAUGUAGGUGCCGAGUAAGGAGUUAUUUUAGGUGCCAG